AUCAUAAACAAGGAUAACACAUUUUACCUGGUCAUGCAGUACCAGUACUCUGUUUACACUACUUGGUCCCCUGGACAUGAAGCUGGUUUCACCAUUGUCAAUACACUAAUUCCUUGGCUUCUAAUUCUGUCUAGCAUGUACUCUCCAGGUCUGCUUUACCUAUAGUGCUGAGCUAUUGUAAUAUUACGGUUUUUAUGACUUGCGUUAAGCUUGAAGCUUUCAAACCAUGUGUCAAAGUGUGAUAUGGAUUUAUUGACUUUGCAGUGGACGCUCGAACCAGUGAAACCAGUGGGCGUGCAGGCAGCUGCGGCAGCCCUGAAAUCUCCCUUUUCUCCCCCUCUCCUCCAAACGCUGCAGUUAAAAUGCUGGUGUGUUCUGGUGAUUCGUCUCCAGCUGCUGCUGUUGAUGGGAUUGCUGAAGAAACAGGAAUGUGAAGUUACUAGCCCAAAGCUGUAUAGCAGGCCAGUAGCAAACCCAGGAAUGGAAGCCAAGUCUCCUAAGCUGCAGUCUGAGCUCUAAUUAAGAAGAAAUUUUGCCCUCUGAUGUUGCAAUGGGGUAAGCCAUAGCAAUACCUGUAUAUUCAUAAUUUAGCUGAGGGGAACACAUUUGAAUGUGUAUGUUUGCCUGUGCUCUUGUAAAUAAUUUAGAAUAAUUCUUUGAAUUUUAAUUCUGAAUUGAACUUUCAAUACUCUUUUCUUUUUAACUAGACAUUUUUUCACAAAUAUUUAUUCACAAGUCGUGUUUAAAACACGGUUCUCAAAAUCUAAAAUUUAUUAAAAUUACCACACAUUCAUUUCCAAAAAUAUCCCAGGGUAGCUUCAGUAAUUCAGAUGUCUAGAUUUUCCAGAAUCCAACUUUAAACUUAUUUUCAGGGCACUGAGCAUCUGCACUUCACCUUGCCUUUAUAGCAAACUGUGGCUAGCUAGCAUCUUAGAAAAAGGAAAUGAAGUUGUGUAUGUCCAACAAGGAUUUUCUUGGUAUUGGAAGUCGCUUUUGGAAAUAUUGCUGUAAAUGCACUGGAAGGAUCAAAAGCUCCAGUCUGGCUUCAGUUUAGCUGGAGGGGAGCC
rnacentral:lncRNA from 1 species